rnacentral:sRNA from 1 species
ACUCCAGUCCGUGCAGUCCAGCAGAGUGGACGUGUGGCCAAUUAAAGGCAUGUGGUAGUCACUAAGAUUGGGAAACUUUUCCCUACAUUGUUCAUUUCCGUAUGUUUGUCACCAAUUUCAAGAAAUUGUGUUAAAGGGGAUGACGGUUUAUACCAGCUAAAUUAUGACAACAACUUCUGAGACGAGUACGGAGCGCCAGACCCGCCAUUUUUCAUCCAUAUCGGGGACACGUGGCGUCGAUGUAUGGUGACCGGGAGCGGUCUACGCUGGAGACGUUUGAAUAUGUGUGUUGUGUUGUGGUGUCCUAACUGUCUACGUACCGGAACAACGGUUGUGUCAUCUGUCCGUGUGUCUGUGUGUCCGUGUGUCUGUCUAUGUGAUGUCCGGGGUUUGGGUGAAAAGUCACCGGAAAUAUACCUAGGAACCAGGAAAAGGAAAUGUGACGAAAUUUAUUGAAAUUUCACUUUCAUUGUUUUGAAUAUUUGUUUCUCGUAUAAUUGUAGUGAUAUUUUUGUGAAAUUGAUUUGAAAGUUGAUAAACGAGUUUAAGGAAAUUAUUUGAAAAUCUUAAUAUAUGUGAAUCAAUUUAAGUGUUUAAAUUUUGGAAAGAAUAUUUUGUUUUGAAGUCAAUUUAAAGAUUUGUUUUUGAAAUUAGAGUCGACUCUGUGUGUUAGAAUCUGGUUUAAUAUUUCUUUCAUUUAUUUUUUUUUUCUUAUAUGUAUUUUUUUUCUUAUUAAAUAUUUGUUUGUU